rnacentral:rRNA from 1 species
CACGUGGGGGGCGAGCGUUGUCCGGAUUUAUUGGGCGUAAAGAGCUCGUAGGCGGCUCAGUAAGUCGGGUGUGAAAACUCCAGGCUCAACCUGGAGACGCCACCUGAUACUGCUGUGGCUAGAGUCCGGUAGGGGAGCAUGGAAUUCCUGGUGUAGCGGUGAAAUGCGCAGAUAUCAGGAGGAACACCAGUGGCGAAGGCGGUGCUCUGGGCCGGAACGACGCUGAGGAGCGAAAGCGUGGGGAGCAAACAGG